rnacentral:tRNA from 1 species
GCCGGAGUUGCCUGCAAAUGAACGGAUUUCGCGGUGAGUGGCCCGUAAACUCGUAAUGAAGGGGUCCGCGGUUCGAAUCCGCGCGUCGGCU